AUUGAACGCUGGCGGCAGGCCUAACACAUGCAAGUCGAGCGGAGCGGCGGACGGGUGAGUAAUGCCUAGGAAUCUGCCCGGUAGUGGGGGAUAACUUCCGGAAACGGGCGCUAAUACCACAUACUUUAAAGGGAGCCUAGGUAGGCUUGGCUGGUUGGUGGGGUAAAGGCCUACCAAGGCGACGAUCCGUAACUGGUCUGAGAGGAUGAUCAGUCACACUGGAACUGAGACACGGUCCAGACUCCUACGGGAGGCAGCAGUGGGGAAUAUUCGACAAUGGGCGAAAGCCUGAUCCAGCCAUGCCGCGUGUGUGAAGAAGGUCUUCGGAUUGUAAAGCACUUUUGUUUGGGAGGCGUUACCAACAGAAAAAGCACCGGCUAACUUCGUGCCAGCAGCCGCGGUAAUAC
rnacentral:rRNA from 1 species